CCUACGGGAGGCUGCAGUGGGGAAUAUUGCGCAAUGGGCGAAAGCCUGACGCAGCGACGCCGCGUGAGGGAUGAAGGUCUUCGGAUCGUAAACCUCUGUCAGCAGGGAAGAACGGUCAUUUGUCUAAUCAGCAGUGAAUUGACGGUACCUGCACAGGAAGCACCGGCUAACUCCGUGCCAGCAGCCGCGGUAAUCCGGAGGGUGCGAGCGUUAAUCGGAAUUACUGGGCGUAAAGCGCUCGUAGGCGGGAUGUCAAGUCAAGGGUGAAAUCCCCGCGCGCAACGUGGGAACUGCCUUUGAAACUGGCAAACUGGAGUGUGUGAGAGGAUAGUGGAAGUCCAGGUGUAGGAGUGAAAGCCGUAGAUAUCUGGAGGAACAUCAGUGGCGAAGGCGACUAUCUGGCACAUAACUGACGCUGAGGAGCGAAAGCGUGGGUAGCAAACAGGAUUAGAUACCCUUGUAGUC
rnacentral:rRNA from 1 species